UGGGGAAUAUUGGGCAAUGGGCGCAAGCCUUACCCAGCAACGCCGCGUGAGGGAAGAAGGCUUUCGGGUUGUAAACCUCUGUCCUUGGUGACGAAAAAAAUGACGGUAGCCAAGGAGGAAGCCCCGGCUAACUACGUGCCAGCAGCCGCGGUAAUACGUAGGGGGCUAGCGUUAUCCGGAAUUACUGGGCGUAAAGGGUGCGUAGGUGGUUUCUUAAGUCAGAGGUGAAAGGCUACGGCUCAACCGUAGUAAGCCUUUGAAACUGGGAAACUUGAGUGCAGGAGAGGAGAGUGGAAUUCCUAGUGUAGCGGUGAAAUGCGUAGAUAUUAGGAGGAACACCAGUUGCGAAGGCGGCUCUCUGGACUGUAACUGACACUGAGGCACGAAAGCGUGGGGAGCAAACA
rnacentral:rRNA from 1 species